ensembl:ncRNA lncRNA:CR45215 long non-coding RNA:CR45215
AUUCUAUCCCAGUUAGAAAUAGCACAGUAAGAAAUAACACUCUAGGAAAGCCAAGUGGACUAAGGCAGACCUCCGGCGAUCCGGCGGCCGACGGUUGCUAUCGCUCCCAUGCCGGAAUAUGGGCAUAUACCUACGUAUGAAUGUACUCGACUAGAGCCAUAAAACCGUGAUCGAAGCGAAGAAAUAAUGGAAUUAUUUCAACAUCAUGUAUUACAGCAACAAUUUCAGGGGGUUGUAUUAGCCCAUGAUUGAUAAUCUGAAUUGCAAUAAAUUCUGCACACGAAUCGAUUGUCGAACCUUUGCCAUGAGUCCAUAAAUUAAGCUGCAAACCGCAGAGAAACCCACGACGCAUCAAUUAUGGAUUUUAUCUCUCGAGAUAAAGAUCUGCAACUGAUACCCAGAAUAUAUCUUUUGAUCUGACCUCUAACACUGAGAUCUGCAUGCAUUUAUGUUUAUUUACAUGACUGUAUCUGGGCUGCCUUUCUUAGUGUGGGGCGACUAUCGUUGGUAUCGCCGCUACUGGGUGAUAACGCUCUUUCCCAUUGCCCAUAGAUAAGCGCACUUUCCUAUCGCCGCGUCGGGGGAUUAGGUGCGAUUUUCUUUAAAAAACCACUCGCGAGCAGCGGGUUUCAAGCAGUCAACGCUCUGCUCUCAGCACCUCAGCAGGUCUAGCUCUUAUCACUGUGCCUCCCCGAUCGCCAGUCGGAUUUUCCACGCCUUCUAUCUAUAUCUAUACUACACCAGCAGCCCAAGAUGGAUCACGGCUCGGAUGACAGCACCAGCACGGCCAAGUCCUGCCCUAUGAUCAUGGUGGUGAGUACGCAGUUACACAACUCCUGUGUCCAACAAUUUUGAUACAAAAUCACUUACCACUGCGCUAAACGCUGUAAUUUAAAAGUCACUCAUCCAGUUUAGCUGAAUGAGAUUUGCACGGAGAGCAAACAAAUAUCUCGUCCGACUUGGAAUUUGAAUUCUCUGGCUAGUCACUCCCUAGUAUAAGUUCGUAUAAGUAUGUUUAUGUGC